ACACCCGAGGCCUCCCGGGUCUCAUCCACGCCUCUGGGUCCAUCACUAAACAGAAGGCACAAUCCCACUAACUCUUACUCCAUCGCUGCUCAUGAAACUCCUGCCAGUAAGGACUGGGUCAAGCACCUGAAAACCAGAGCUCGUCCGUGGCUUCACUUGUUUUGGACUAAGGAGCUGAGGAGCGUGCAAGACUGUACUUGGAGAAUCUGUUUCUUGCUGCCAUUUCGUCACUGAACACUAUUUUUUUUCUCCUUCUUUUUUUGUAAGAAAAGGAGAACACAUAAAACCCCACCAGAACAAACUCCACUCGGCCCUGAAAGUAUUUACAAUCACGGCCCUGAAAGUACUGAAAGUAUUUACAAUCACGUUACAGUUCAUUCACUGCUGCAGAACCUCUCUCCAGCGAUCAAGGUCGAAGGGAGCCGACGUCGCCCUCUAUCGGCUCCCUGCUGCACUAGAAGCCGGACUCACUCAGGAGGCCCUUCAUCUUCAUGUUCCCCACAUAGCAGAGGGGAGGGCAGAAGAUGAGAGGGAGGAGAGAGCAGAGCCAAGAGCCUCCUUUUCUCCCACUGUGCCCCUCCUAUGUGUGGCUCUGGACACCAGGAACCACCCAAGGACAGUGGGACUCCUCGAAAAGAUAAUUGCUCAUGAGGGAUCCAAGAGCAAGGCUUGUUACAUCCUAUAACCUUCACACAAAAUAUUGACUGAGAAUCCUCCAUGUGCCAAGUACUGUUCAAAAACACUGGGAACCCAGCAGGGAUGAGCCACAAGUUUCCUUGUCUUUACGAAGCUUUCAUUCUGAGGGAGUGGAGAGAGACAAGCAAUAAACAACCAAUCAAAACAAA